rnacentral:rRNA from 1 species
UACGUAGGGUGCGAGCGUUGUCCGGAAUUACUGGGCGUAAAGAGCUCGUAGGUGGUUUGUCGCGUUGUCCGUGAAAUUCCCUGGCUUAACUGGGGGCGUGCGGGCGAUACGGGCAGACUGGAGUACUGCAGGGGAGACUGGAAUUCCUGGUGUAGCGGUGAAAUGCGCAGAUAUCAGGAGGAACACCGGUGGCGAAGGCGGGUCUCUGGGCCGAUACUGACACUGAGAGACGGAAAGCUA